ensembl:snRNA U6 U6 spliceosomal RNA
CUGCUUUGGUAACACAUGUACUAAAAUUGGAACAAUACUGAAAUUCACACGGCCCCUGAACAAGGAUGCCACUCAAAUUUGUGAUGCAUUCUGUAUUUUU